AUGAAGAGGCAGCUGUGCUUUCUGCUGGGGCUGCUGUACACCCAGAUUUGCUGGGUGAAAGGGCAACAAGUGAAGCAGAGUCCUGUGUCCUUGGUUCUGCAGGAGGGAGAGAGCACAGAGCUGCAGUGCAACUUUUCCACCUCUGCAUCCCAAAUGCAGUGGUUUUACCAAAGUCCUGGGGGACACCUCAUCAGCCUGUUCUUCAAUCCUUCUGGAACAAAGCAGAGUGGAAGACUGAAGUCCACGACAGUCACUCAGGAACGCUGCAGCUCUUUGUCCAUUUCCUCCUCUCAGAGCACAGACUCAGGCACUUAUUUCUGUGCUGUGGAUCCACAGUGCUCCCCACACACCUGCAGCCAGUACACAAACCUUCAGCUGGGUGGGUGUGACCUUUCCCAGACACAGACACCCAGAAAUCACAACAGAACAUCUCUCUAG